AAAACAAUUAUUUAUUUCCUGAAUAGUAAACAUUUUGCAGAGAAAAGGAUUUUGCACGACCAGCGGCCAGCAACAAGAUAUAAUAAUGAUUCUGUAUUUUACUGCAUGUAUAACUCUUUGAAAACUGGCUGAUAUUUAUUUACAAAACACAUACAAAAACACUGAGAAGUUGUAGUUCUGGUACAUAAUUCUAAAAAACUAAAUGUGGUUAAAGUGCUGAAAACACCAGAUAUCACAUGAAAAAGUGAUCCUGCAUUAAAUGUGAAGUUUCAAAUGUCUCAAAAGGUCAGCACACAAAACCAACACUACCCUUUUGGCUUGAAAAUAUUUAACCGUUCAAAAAGUGGAUAAUCAGAUUUCUUUUUUUCAUAUUGGGCCUUUUAAAUGUAGAUAUAAUCAAUAUAACUCACACGCCAAAUGUCAUUUUUGAAUGUCAUUUUUUGAAACACUU